rnacentral:tRNA from 1 species
GCCCUCGUAGUUCAACGGAUAGAACAAAGGACUCCUAAGCCUUAGAUGCAGGUUCGACUCCUGCCGAGGGCACCA